AUGGGAUUUAAGGUCUCUGUCAUCAUAAUCAAUGUAUUUCAUCCACCUCCAUCUUUUUCAGGUAUUCACGCAGAAAGAGCAAAUUCUUACCUGAUCCUUGAAACUUCUUGUUAUCACCCAACGCUGUGUGAUCCCCUGAUUUCUCUGCACUUACUUCCCUUUUCACAGACAAUGCAAAAUUUCACCUCAUCCCAAUACUGCUGGGUUGAUUGACUGGAUCAAGGAUAGUCAUGUCAUACCAGUGGACAGAAUUCAAUGUGAGAUGUUUAUAGGGGAAGCCACCAAGGAGAAAUUUCUACAGGAAAGAAAGAAGCUUCUUUUCUUUCUUCUUUGGACAAUGUAAGGAAGUAGGGUCCAGGGAUCCCUGGGUGGCAGCGGUUUGGCGCCUGCCUUUGGCCCGGGGCGCGAUCCUGGAGACCCGGGAUCGAAUCCCACGUCAGGCUCUCGCUGCCUGGAGCCUGCUUCUCCCUCUGCCUGUGUCUCUGCCUCUCUCUCUCUCUCUCUCUCUCUCUGUGACUAUCAUAAAUAAAUAAAUAAAUAAAUAAAUAAAUAAAUAAAUA
rnacentral:lncRNA from 12 species